GACAUGGGGACGCUGAGACACAUGAGGACACUGUGAGACAUAGGGACAUUGGGAGACACAUUGUGACAUUGUCUCCAUGUCUCCCAAUAUCCCUGUGGAGACAAUGUCACAAUGUGUCACCAAUGUCCCUAUGUCUCACAGUGUCCCCAUGUGUCUCAGCGUCCCCAUGUCU